rnacentral:rRNA from 1 species
UACAGAGGUCUCAAGCGUUGUUCGGAUUCAUUGGGCGUAAAGGGCGCGUAGGCGGCGGGGUAAGUCGGGUGUGAAAUCCCGGGGCUCAACCCCGGAACUGCAUUCGAUACUGCCUGGCUAGAGUACUGGAGAGGAGAUUGGAAUUUACGGUGUAGCAGUGAAAUGCGUAGAUAUCGUAAGGAAGACCAGUGGCGAAGGCGGAUCUCUGGACAGUUACUGACACUGAGGCACGAAGGCCAGGGGAGCAAACGGG